rnacentral:misc_RNA from 1 species
UCGGAGUGUAACAUCUUUAUCCCUACUUAUAAUCAUCCUUCCUUUGCUUCCCAGGGUCAUGGAGUUUAGUCAAUCUGAGCUCUAAAACUAUCAACUGAUAUCAAUAAUCACUUUAUAUCACCUGAACAAAUGAAAAAGCUGUUGCCCUGCAGAAAUCUUCUUUUCUUGAUCCUAAUUUCCUUCUUCCCUUCCUUUCUCUAAUUUCCUAUAUUCCAAACUAAAAUCCUUCUUUUUCCCCUUAUUGGUGUGCUUUCUUGCUGGAGAAACUCCAAAGAAUUCAGCCAUCCUUCCUUGCUCUCUCUUCUUCUCUCUUCCUUCUUCUGCUCUUCUUUUCCUAUCUUUUUCUGAUUCUUCUUUCCUUUUUAUCUUGUUUCUUCUUUUAACUUCAAUUCCAAAUUUAACUUUCUCCUCCAAAUAACAACCAUAUUUAAUAUCACAGAGAUCAGAGAGGAUGGAAGAAAGGACCCUUUGUGUCCGAGAUGGUUAAAGCGCUGAGAAAGAGGAGCAGAUAAAAAGACUAUCAACAAAUAAAGAAAGAGAGCAACAUGAAAGAAAGGAGCCCCUGAGUCCGAGAUGGUUAAAGUGCUGAGAAAGAAGGAGCAGAUAUAAAAAACUAUCAACAGAUAAAGAAAGAGAGCAACUUUUUGGAUCAUGCAAGAGUCCAAAAAGCACACACAGAAACAACAGGAAAAG